rnacentral:rRNA from 1 species
GAGUUUGAUCUUGGCUCAGGAUGAACGCUGGCGGCGUGCUUAACACAUGCAAGUCGAACGAAGCGCCUUAUUUGAUUUUUCUUCGGAACUGAAGAUUUGGUGACUGAGUGGCGGACGGGUGAGUAACGCGUGGGUAACCUGCCCUGUACAGGGGGAUAACAAUCAGAAAUGACUGCUAAUACCGCAUAAGACCACAGCACCGCAUGGUGCAGGGGUAAAAACUCCGGUGGUACAGGAUGGACCCGCGUCUGAUUAGCUGGUUGGUGAGGUAACGGCUCACCAAGGCGACGAUCAGUAGCCGGCUUGAGAGAGUGAACGGCCACAUUGGGACUGAGACACGGCCCAAACUCCUACGGGAGGCAGCCAGUGGGGAAUAUUGCACAAU